UUACAUAUACUUUUAAUUUGAGUUUUGCUUAGUUGCUUUCGUUUACCUCAUGACAGGUGAUGCUGAGACGGUUUUGUCCUCGUAAGACUACUCUACUGUUUGUUAUACGAGAUAAAACAAGGUCACAAUUGAAUGAGGCUAUUUUAAGAGAGGAUUAUGGAGAAGCUGCAAAGCUGAAGUUGGCCAUAACUGGUGCUAC